CAAAGCCUUAAUAUAUUAACCCUCAAUCUCAUAAUUUAUAAUGAACCCUCCCACACUACUGAACUAUUUUAUAAUUAUAUAAAAGAAAUAAUGCUAGAACUAGUAAUAAGAGGUAGCCCCUCUCCUAAAUGUUAGCUUACGCCAUAACGGACCUACCAAUGGCCAUUAACGCCUAUGAAAAUACUAUAGUAACUUUUCUAGAAAACCCUAUUAUUAAUUACGUUAAUCUUACACAAGAACAUUUCAGGAAAGAUUAAAAGAGUAAGAAGGAACUCGGCAAACAUAAACCCCGCCUGUUUACCAAAAACAUCGCCUCUUGAUUAACUAUAAGAGGUCCAGCCUGCCCAGUGACAUAGUUCAACGGCCGCGGUACCCUGACCGUGCGAAGGUAGCAUAAUCACUUGCUCUUUAAAUGGGGGCUAGUAUCAACGGCAUCACGAGGGUUCAACUGUCUCCUUUAUCUAAUCAAUGAACCUGAUCUCUUCGUGAAGAAGCGAGGAUAAAAAUAUAAGACGAGAAGACCCCAUGGAGCUUUAAACUCGAUGUGCACCUAAAUAAGCACUCACACCCUCUCAGCCCUUUAGAAUUGUACAUCAGUUUUGGGUUGGGGCGACCACGGAGAAAAAUAUAACCUCCACGACAAAUGGAUUAAAAUCCUAAUCCAAGAAUUACCUUUCUAAGAAUCAACAGAUUGAUGUAAAUUGAUCCGAAAACCUCGAUCAACGGACCAAGUUACCCUGGGGAUAACAGCGCAAUCUACUUCGAGAGCCCAUAUCGACAAGUAGGUUUACGACCUCGAUGUUGGAUCAGGGUAUCCCAGUGGUGCAACCGCUACUAAAGGUUCGUUUGUUCAACGAUUAAAACC
rnacentral:rRNA from 1 species